UACGGGGGGGGUAAGCGUUGUUCGGAAUUACUGGGCGUAAAGGGCGCGUAGGCGGCCUUCUUAGUCGGACGUGAAAUCCCCAGGCUCAACUUGGGAACUGCGUCCGAUACUGGAUGGCUUGAGUGCGGGAGAGGGAUGUGGAAUUCCAGGUGUAGCGGUGAAAUGCGUAGAUAUCUGGAGGAACACCGGUGGCGAAGGCGGCAUCCUGGACCGACACUGACGCUGAGGCGCGAAAGCUAGGGGAGCAAACGGG
rnacentral:rRNA from 1 species